rnacentral:hammerhead_ribozyme from 1 species
AUCCAACUGACGAGUCCCAAAUAAGACGAAAUGUGCUUACUGGAU